UAUGCUCCUUGGUAAAUAGAGUCUGUCAACCUUGCUGCAUGGAUGAAGGGCAUGAUUCAUUGUCAUUAUUUGUCUGGUCUUCCUAUCCAGGGCUUCUAGUUCAGCUUGAGUCCAGUCCACGAUUCCAGCUGUAUAUCUAAUGACUAGAAUUGCCCAGGUGUUAAUCAUCUUGAUGGUAUUUCCGCCACUGAGUUUGGACUUUAAGAUCUUCUUCACUCUUCUGAUGUAUUCAGUACUACCCUUCUUCUUGACUUCAGUGUGCUUAUGUUGUCAGACUGAAGGAUGCUCAGGUAUUUAUAGUGAUCUUUUUCAUCCAGACUCUUGAUGCUAUUUCCAUAAGGCAUCUUGAUUCCUUUAGUUUUCACUAUUUUUCCCCUGUUGAUGGUAAGGGUGGUACAUUUGUCCAGUCCAAACUCCAUUGCAGUAUCUUGGCUGUAUAUUCAGACAGUGUUGAGCAGCAAUUCCAAUUUAGAUGAUGUUUUUCCAUACAGCUUUAGAUCAUCCAUGCAAAGGAGGUGGGAUAGCCUGGCAGAUGUUUUUGAUGUUUGAUAGCCAUGGCCUGACUUGUCCAGUAUUGUUGGCAGAGGAAUCAGUACAAUGACAAACAGUAGUGGUGAUAGUGAGUCUCCCUGAAAGAUUCCUCUCUUGAUAUUAAUCUCUCCCAGUCUAUCACCAUCGAGCAGUAACUGUAUCUUCCAUUGUGCCAUUGAUCUUUGCACAAAGUUUCUGAUGUUUCUAUUGACUCUUAUUAUUUCUAGGCACUUGAUUAUCCAGUCAUGUGGCAGGGAGUCGAAUGUCUUCUUGUAAUCAAUCCAAGCUACAUUCAAGUUGGUCUUCCUUCUAUUACAGUUUUCCAAAAUCAUCUUGUCAAUUAGGAGCUGAACUUUUGUCCCUCUGCUGUUUUUGUGGGUUUCCUAUUAUUACUAUUACUAAAUAUGCCUCAAUGUUAUUAGGUGAAAAGAAGACCCACUAAUAAUGGAAGCAACCCAAAUUAUGCAAUUGUAUCAGUGGAAUGCUUUCUUCCUGCAAUACACAAUUCCACAAUUGAGUAUUUUGUUUUAAUCUUAGGUUUAUUAUCCCAGUUACUGAACUUUUAAAAAAAAAAUUCAAAAGCAUAACUGUGUUAGUCUGUGCAGGAAAAACAUUAAUGUUUUUAAUACCCUAUAUAACUAUUUGUAAGGCCAUAUGCUUUUAAAGAUUACAUGUAAUCAGAUUGAUUGUAGCUAUUUAGCUGCACAAUGAGUGAACUUCAGUCCAUCUUAAAAUAAUGUCCCAUCCCACUGCAUUUGCUUAGAGACCGCCACCCAGUCUAAAACAGCUUCUUAUCAAUAAUCACAAACUACGCUACGAAGAUACUCCAUUAAUGACUUACUCCAAUAAUUGCUCUGGCAAUGUAAUUGUAGGACCUAAUAAUGUCACUUAUAUAUGAAAGCCUAAUCUUUCAGUAUGAUUAUGUGCUAUCAUUAUCCAUAGGAUGAACAACAGAGUUGCUGGGCAAAAUAAUAUAUAGGCACAGAUCUGACCACAGAAAUGGUAAUAUUGGGAAACUAAUGGAGAACACUUUCAAAACUUCAACUUCAUCAGGCACUCUUCUAGUAUUUUGAACCAAAUAAUUACAUGAGUUUUGUUGCGAAGUAGUACUCAAGUUAAUCAAGAGUUCUCAAUGUUGUGGUUUGAAUUUCCUCAACCUAAUUCAUGUUUUUCAAAUAUGUAGUCAUGGGCUAAUUGUACAAAGUUUAUACAGAAGAAUAGGCAAAACAAUCUUUUUGUUUAUUACUAUAAAUAAACAAUUUAUAGAAGUAAUUAAUUGUAUUCAUAACAUUAAGUGAAGGAUUUCCCUUUACAAUCAUUUGCCAUGGUUUUAAGUAGUUAGUCCCUAACUUUAAAGCUUCCAUGGCAAAAGAUGCUGUACACAGAGAUCUAGGCCACAUGAUCUAAUAAAAAAAAUUAAUUGCUGUCAUUAGAAUCUAGAUUACUGGAGUCCAGAACCUUACAGAUUUUUACAACAUGGAUGAAUAUAAGCAACAGUGAAGCACAUAGGAAGAUGCAUUUCAAUCUGGGAUUGGAAGAGCCUUGCAGCAAUAAAAGCUUUUUAUAUUUCCACUGGUUUACUACCACUGAUAUAGUUUGUGUCAGCCCCUCAAGGUAGACCAGACUAGAAAACCAGAGUUUUGAAUGUGAAUGCUACUUUUAUUAUAAGGUUACAGUAACAGAAUCUUGCAAGUCUGUAUGUGCUUCUCCCCUCCCUCACUUUAUCUUCAUGAGAACUAGGGAGGGUCAUGUCUGAGAUGCUUUCUCAAAUUACAUUUCUGCCCUGGACUCAGAUUUCUUUUAUCUGACCGCUGCCUUGGUUGCAGCUCUUCCUCCUGUUCCUCAAGAUUAUUCCUUCUGUCAAUUACAGCCAUUAAAGCUGGCAGAAUAUCUUAGGGCCAUUAAAGCAUAAUUUAUAAGAAAUUAUAUCUUAGCAACCACAGUUGGGACCAGCAACUCCAUCGCUCAGUGCGUGGUUGUUAAGUGAAACAUCACAUGACAGCGACUUAGGCUUUUAUUUCUGCAUUCUACAUUAACUCUGCUUGUUGCAAGCCAGUUGAGAAGCUUGCAAAUGGCAUUACCAGGUAAAUGCAAGGAUUAAUUGCAAAGCUGUUUUUUUUUUUCUUUUACACACCACCAUAACUUCAAACGGUCACCAAAUUAGGCAGUCAGUAAGCAAAGACUGCCUAUAUUUCAUGGUCUUUUUUCAGAUUAUUGUGCACAUGAUAAAUCUAGAAAUUGUUAUGAUUUGCCUGUCAACCCUAAAAUUAUACUCCAGGAAUCCAGUCUCUAAGGGUAGUGUAAUUCAGCAGAAUCAAUAGAUGGGAGAGAAAUGAAUAGUGAUGACCAUGCUUUCUGAUACUUCAGUGCUUUGAAGUUCUAGUUAGCCAGAGAUUAUCCUUUAAUAAUAUAUAUAUUUAAUAUUAAUAAUGGUUUUGUGAAGCCAAGCUUUCACUAAAUGUUGGGUGAGCUUUAUUUAAACCUAAUGAAAGGAGGAGAAAAUUAUGUGAAAGUCAAGGAGGAACAUAAUUAAUUUAUGUAUCAUCCCAUCCUGAGUCAUUAGGUAAAAGGCCAGACAAACUUAUUUUUAUGUUCAUAAAGGUAUUUAAAUGAAGUUGUUGGUGAGAAUGGGAGAUGCUUGUCUCUGGUAAUUGCUGCUAAUUUGUCCCACACACUUUAUUUACAGAGUCAAGAGCACCUUCCAAAUUUACCAAUGCACAUACUAGUGAGACAGAAUUAGAAAGUGGUCAAGAUAACACCUCCGUUCUUAAAACCUAUUUGUUCAGAGCGGGAAACAGGUUUUACCCAGUCUUCCAGCUUCUCCAGCAGUAAGCAUGAAUACAGCCUGGUUGACAUAUCCAGUAGAUAAACUAGACAAUCUACUGGAUAUGCCAAUUUAUUUUGUAAAUAGUGAUAAUUAUACCAAGGGUCCUGGCCUUCUGUGUAGUGUAUUUAUACAUUUGAACAAUUUAGCAAGGAGUGGCUGCCAUCCUGUUGCAAAGUGCUUAAAUACCGUAGAAGGCAGAACUAACCUACAUAAGAACACAUAAUGUCCAACAACUACUUUGUUACUGACUAUUCUUACGGUCACAAUUACUACCCGGAGCUUCUGCGUUUCAUACGUCCUUCUGACUUCACUGCUUACCAUGCACCCCACCAUAUGUAUACGAAUGCAUAUACUCAUCUCAAGAUAACAUUGCAUGCAUCUGAUAAGUGAAGCAUUAUGUCAUAAUAAAUGUAUUAAAUUUUAAAAUAAAAGGGACUAAAAUGAAAAAGAAUAAGCAGGAAUAGCAGCAGCUGAACUUUAUUGGCAUGCUGUCAUACUCAUUUCCUUAAUCUGUAGGGCUAUAGGCUCUACACAUCCUACUUUCAGUGAACAUUUUUCAUUGUGGAAUCUGCUGGCAAACCCUCUGCAUUUGGUUGAAAAACUGAGGCAUGUUCUAAAAUGCAUACUUAGCUGAAGCAGGGUAUAGCAUAUUUGCCAUCACUGUGUGUGAAAUAUUGUGCCUUAAAAUUUACCCAUACGAGCCCUGGUUCUGCAAUGGACAAGAUCUGGUAUCGUAAACAACUGUAUUUUGGGCAAUCUGUCUCCCUAAUUCACUGAAAAAUUUAGUUGUGUAUUUUAGGCUCCUAAGGAAGAUAUUUAAGCUUUACUAUAAAGAAGAUGCAAGUUUAAUGUUGACUCAGCAGUGGAUAAAGCUGUCUUUGAAAGUAGAAUUUGGUUUGUAGGAUGUAUCUAAAAAAGUUUAAGAAAUGGCUUGAUCUGUACUAAAAGUCUAUCAUCAUGACAUACACUGUCUUGAGCUUCUUAAUGGAAAAAAGGGAAUCAGCUAAUGUUACUGGGCAUUGUUUAAACCUCAGAUACAGUUACAUAGCUUCUUGAACAUGACCAUUGCAAAUCAUGUUUCUUACAUUUUUUCUUACCUUUUUAAAAAGAAUUCGAAAUUAAUUGUCAUGCUAUGUCUCCCCUUUUUUUCAGCACUAAGUAUAUCUGAUCAUUCCAUCCAAUUCAAAACAUAAUAGAUUACUCCCAAGCAUAAUCUUCACCAUAGUGAUUAGUACCAGCAUGCAGUGAUUUGAAGCACCUGUGGCUUUUUAAAGCAGCCACAUCUUUUCCUAGGAUCACAUAUUUGCCUUCCACGGCUACAGCACAAUCCCUGGAGAAGACAUGGCUGCUUUAAAGGAAUGACCUUAUUUCAGUUCCUUCUUAAUCUGUCAGGUGGAAUUAUAAAAUCUAAAUCUACCAAGUGGGUCAGUCAAACUACUUGUAUUUUCAUUAAGGUACUGUAUAAAACACAAGUUCACAUUAGCAUUUAACAACUUUAGUGUUUACAUAAUACAGAAUUCAUAAAUACAGAAAGAUUUUUUUUCUUUUUCAAGAAGGAAGAAAUGUUUAUAAAAUAAAUAUACUUUUUUUCAACAAACCUUAAAUAAGACUUUUUGGCUUUAUGGGAUUUUUUGCUAGUGUUAUCAAUCAGAUGAUAGGGAAAUUAAAUCUUGGGUACUAUGUCUGUAGGGAGUAGAUUUCAUUCCACUGAAAUUGUUACAUAUCUAUUAGUCACAAAUGGUACACACUAUACAAAUAUUUAGGCUUUUGCUGUGCAAACAAAAAAUAAAAUAAAAUGGCAAGUCAAAUGAAAUAGUGACAGAGAUUCCAGAGUAUGGGCAUAAAAAGCAUUGAUAUAUAUUUUUUACCUUUUGAAGAGUAUCAAUCUUCAUGUGAAUUACUAUUAGAGUUAUUCAUUUUUACUAUUUUUUUCUUUCCAUUUGCAGCUCAGCCUUUUAUCUUUGAUAAAUAAUAAACAGAACAGGUAGCAUCACAUUCUGUUUAAUUAACACACCACACAAAUAUGUAAUUUCAUUGCCUCUCCUUUCCUUUCUUACCACUUCUGGCUUAAUCCUGCUCCCUGCAAGGUUCUGAGAAAGAUAGUUUGUAAUUUGACUUCUCAGUGACUAAUCUUGUAUAUUUGUGUUGACACAAACUGCCUACAGUGUUGCUGUAGCAUUUUAACUAUAGUGUGUUCUAUUAUACCUUGACCUAAGGUUAGGAUCAAAAGAACUCCUUGGCUGUACUGUAUCAAAGGCUUCUAGAUAUCCUUUAGAAUUGCCCUGUUUAUUUGUUAUUAUUUUCUGCAUGGAGUUGGCUGUUGAGGUCCUCCAGUAUGGGAGAAGUAAUCCUAAAUGCAGAAAGAGUUCUAAUGAUAAAGCAUCCAGAACCUCUCCCCUUUCAUGGCUACUUGGAUCCUGUUCCAUGGAUUGAGGUGACUGGGAAUGGAGAACCUGUCAUCUUCUGGAGGUUGCUAACUACAACGUCUGGUGUUCUUUUAACUGGCUGUGCCAGCGGGCGUUGCUGCAAGUUGAAAUUCAGCUACUUCUGGAGUGCCACAGAUUCCCCGUCCCUAGUGUACUGGCAGAGCAAACUUUACAGUGGGGUAAUUAAUUGGCAAUUUUGUAUGUUUUGUCAGUAAUUUUUUUUGACAGUUUUAAUUUUGUCUAAAUAGGUUUUCUAUGUGCAUUCCAAAGGCCUUUUGUGUUAUACUGUAGCAAAGCUUGAACUCUUCUAAAAAAGGAGGCAGGAGUUUUAAAAUGUUACUGGCUGGUUCAGUAAAUCACUUUUGUCUUUCCUUUAAUUAGCUUGAUCUACAGCAUCAUUUUCUUAUUCUUUUAUUCUGUAAUUAUGUGAUGUAGUAAGCAUGCCUUCUAUAGCUAUGAUGUAUUUAGGAUUAUUCUGUAAUAAUAUGUUUGGAGACUUCGUAAUUUUCAGUUUGCUAUUCGGUUGAAUAGUAAUAUUUAAUGCAACAAUGAAUUUCUGCUCUGUUCAAAUGUUUGUGCAUCUGAUCACCAAAAAUAUAGAGAAUUUAUAACUUGAAUAUGUUUAUUUUAAAAAUAUGCCAUGUACAGCUAUCAAGAAACCUUGUAUGUAGAAUUUUGGGCAGAAGUGUUUUUAUUGCACCUUUAAAAAAGAAAUGUAAUAUAGUGUUUAAAAGAUCUUAUUUUGCACUAGGGUUGCCAAAUGCCCCAUUAUAUUUCCAAUUAUGGCAAUUCCUUAGAAUAUAAUGAAUUUCCCUUACUUUGGAAUACACUGGCUCCACCAAGCAAUAUCCUUUUUUUCCCCAUUUUUAAUGGUAGUUACAACCAGUAGUUACGUUUGCACAACUUAUCUAUAAUUUAAUCAUGGUUUACUCAACCCAGGUUUCUUAAUUCACACAAUAAGCUGGCUGAAAUAUAGCUGACUGCAUUGUCAUUCAGAGUUUUGUGCAAAAAUAAUCUAUAUUAUCCUAAAAUAAGACACAUUGUAGGCACAGAACCCAUAGUAUAUAAAUAUAAAUAUAUAAAAAGAGGGGUUUUGAGGUGAUUCAGUGUUCACAGCAGUCUUCAGAUUGAUCUCCUUUACUUGUAUUAUUAUAAAAUAAAUGUUUGAAGCGUUUUAGUUAUAUUAUACCAUCUUUCUGGUAAUCAUACAAUUCGGAACUAUAGUUAGGUAUCCCAAUCUGUUCAUAUACCAAACUAAAAUGUUGGGGCUAAUUCUUGUUUAGCGUGAUAGUUCAUAUAGUUUUGUGAUGACUAGCUGAAGUAACGAUGAGAGUAAAUUUCUUUUUUAUUUGAAAAAGCUUCAUAAAUUAUAAUUUCAACAACACUUUGGACAACUACAAAACUGAGAUAAAUAGGAAAAAUCUUCCCUUUUUUUUUAUAAUUCAUGAAUGGAAAAAGGCCAUCUCAAUAGCUGUUCCCCUUUGGUUAUACAUGACUGAGAAUUGAAGGUAAAGUUAACUGGUAGAGAACUAGAAUUAGUGAAAUACAAUUAUAUUAUUACAGAUUAGCAGUUUAUAUAUGGUAUGGUAAUUUUUUAUACAUUUAUAUCUAAAUAAUUAUAUGUUGAUUUUUUUUUAGGGGAAUUCACUGGGGCAUCAGAAAAAGUCAAGAUGAUAGCUGUGAUAGCCUGAUAAAAAUUCCACCCCUAUUUAUACAGCACUUGUAAAAGGACAGGGUUUCAAUCACAGUCACGUGCACCAUCUUAACUUUUUUGAGACCUCCUUGCAGACACUUUGGCUUUAUUUAAAAGGAAAAAAAUUAAUCUAAUCUAGAUUAGAUUAAUCUAAUGUAGAACAUUUGUUCCAACCAUUGUGUCCUAGACACCUAACAUUUCAGACUAUUUUAUGUUGCUAGAGUGCUUAGGUGGGGAAAUAAUCAAACACUGCCAACAAUGGAAAUAAUUCAGUAGUAAGCUUUUUCAGAGAAAGGCAAACACAAAUCCUAAAUCCAAAUUAGGUAGUCAGUUCAACAAAUUAGGCAGAGAUGCUCAGCCUGUACCCUCAUAGCUACCUGGGGCCUUCCCCAAGCCUCAACUCCACCAAAUAUUGCCUCUGUUGUAUAAUUUUUAUUAUAACACUAGACAACCGUGACCCAACGGGUCUUCGUUUCAGAGAUAUUUCCUUACCGGAUUCCUCAAUGCCUUCAACAGUGGCAGAGCUUCUAAUGUACUGCCUUCACUGGAAAAGUUCUUAAAAAUUCAGGGAGAUAUUCAAGGAUGUAUCUGCCUUGAAAAUUGCCCAUGUCAUUCAUAUUGAACUGUAUAGCAUAGUCAAACAUCAGGAGUUGACUGCAGGAAAUGUUUUAUGACAUUUUGUAUUAUGUCAUAAAGUGUUUUAUGAUAAUUCUUAUGUCAUAAAAUGUUUUAUAAAAUUUGCCAAAUUGCUAUUCCACGGGAGCCAUGGGUCCUGUAUUUUGGACGCAUUCUGUAAGCCCAUUUGAGGUAUCUUGGUUCAAAAAUUGUUGGCCUAUGACACACCAUUUUGCCCAGUACAGGUUAAAAACAGACACAAGAGUUUUAGUAGUAUAUAGAUGAUAGAUAACAUUAUUAAAUAUAUGGUGAAUAAUCAUAUUAACUAUAUUUAUUAUGGUCGAUAAAUUUCAUGCUGAAUCAAAUUUAGCUUUUAUGCUGUCUGUGCCUACUUUUGUAAUGUCCCUCCUGGCAUGCCACUGAAAGACAAAGGUAGUCCUCAGGUUAAGAAAAUAUGGUGUUUGUAAACUACUGUUCUACAGGGGAAGGGCAGGAAGGUUUAAAUUCAAGAAUAUCUGUGUUAACUCUAAUCUACCUAAGAUGAGAAAGGGGGGAAAUUCCUGUCUGAAGAUAUCAGCCAAGCUUGUGAUUUCUAACUGUAACAAAUACAAAUAAAGUGCCACUUCAAAAUGCAUUAAA